rnacentral:tRNA from 1 species
CCGUCACAUGCCGCAGGUCUUGCCGGGAGCGGCUCACCGCCGCACGGCGGGCGUGCCGCCCGCCCGGUGGCGGG